AGCAGCCGCGGUAAUUCCAGCUCCAAUAGCGUAUAUUAAAGUUGUUGCAGUUAAAAAGCUCGUAGUUGAAUUUCGGGAUCAAUAUGUUGGUCGUACCUUGGUACGUACUGGCAUUAUUGGUUCCUACCUUCUGAAGAACCUCGAUGUCAUUAAUUUAGUGUCUUGGGGAAUCAGGACUGUUACUUUGAAAAAAUUAGAGUGUUUAAAGCAGGCUCACGCUUGAAUACAUUAGCAUGGAAUAAUGAAAUAGGACGUUUGAUUCUAUUUUGUUGGUUUCUAGGAUCGACGUAAUGAUUAAUAGGGAUAGUUGGGGGCAUUAGUAUUCAAUUGUCAGAGGUGAAAUUCUUGGAUUUAUUGAAGACUAACUACUGCGAAAGCAUUUGCCAAGGGUGUUUUCAUUAAUCAAGAACGAAAGUUAGGGGAUCGAAGACGAUCAGAUACCGUCGUAGU
rnacentral:rRNA from 1 species